UCUGUUUGCACACAGCCAUAUCCGUGGGAUCCAUAUACGUCCAGAGAGGAGCAGGUAUCAGAUUUGGGGUCUCCAUGUGACCUUUAUUCUUGGUGGGAUUUUCUUCCAGGAGACACUUGGUGAUAUUGAAGUUCAAGAGAAAGAACAUCAAGGGAGGCAGAAGUAGUGAACAAGAGGAAGACUGAGGACCCCCAAACUUGGACAUGACUCAGUAGAAACACACUGUAAAAUUUUCAGAAAGUUCAAGAUUCCUCUUGCUUCUGAUUAAAAGGGUCACAGCCCUCCCUAGUCCAGGUGCUGAAUAUGCAGUGUGGAAUAAUGGAGUAUUCCUAUUUUCGUAGAUUUUACAUGAUCGUGAAGAAAGCAAAAACUGACACAUACUUAUGUAAUAAUGAUAUCAAGGUUAUGAAGCAAAAAAAAUUGAAUAAGGCAGUGGAGAAUAUACGACAAGAGGCAAGAGGAUGUGUUGUGUUGGGGUGUGGGGUGGGGCUUUGAAAUAGGUCUCCUAAGAAUUUUUUAACCCUUCCUUUGAAAGGUGGAUCCCAAUUCCUCUCUCUUGGAAUGUGGGCUGGAUUCAGUUACUUCCUCUACCAAAUAAAGUAAAGUAGAGGUUGUGGUGCAUGGUGUCAGAGGCUGGAAAGUUACUGCGUCUUCUUCCUGGUUUUCUGGGAUUGUUUAUUCCAUAGAAAGAAGCCAUCUGAGAAGCUGACUCCCUGCCCCAGUCAAGCCUUCAGAUGACUGUAGCCCCUGGCAAUAUCUUGGGGGCAAUGGAAGGAGACACCCUGAACCAAUCCACACAGAGAAGCUGACCCUGGAUUCCUGAGCUGGAGAGGCUGCUGCCAUGAAGUGAAAAAUCUACUCUGCCACACACAUUCCUACUGCCAUAAUGCACUGUGCCAUCACAGACACAAAGCAACUGGGCCAAGUGUCAUUGGAAUGCAACUGGUUUGAGCAAGGAAAUUCUAUGGAAGGAUCUGAAGAACUGGAUUGAUCGGCCCUUUGCUGUCUAUCCCCACGUAAGAAGAGAACUGCAAGUGCCAAGGCUCAGAAAUGUUCAAGAGUCGGCAUCCUCUGAGGUAUGGUGAGAAAAAGGUUCUUGAGUGAGGAGCAGAGGGUGCCAUGGCCAGGGGCAUGGAGCAAUCCCAGGUUCCAAUCCCAGGUCUGUAUUUACUAGCUUUAUAACCUGGGAGGAGUUUGGGUAAGUCUUUGAGCUUUUCUUUCCUUAUCUAGAAAAAGGGACAUAACAGUACCUACCUUAGAAGAUUUCUUUCAAUACAGCAUUAGUUCCUAUCUCCUUAGGAAAGCUCACCCUCUUAGCGCGGGUCUCUUCUCCAUGGAUCCACCUAAUCCCUUGUUGAAUACGAAGGGUCAGGAGAGAUUCACUGGAGAAGGGAGAAGAUGGUGGGAGGGAGGGUCAUAGGGGGCAAAGUUAAAAGAAGAGUUGAGUGGGAGUCUGGGUCUCAGAAACAUGUCUCAGAUACCAGUCAGAGAAACAUAAGAGGCCCAAGCUUAUUACUUGCUCAGCAUCAGGCACGUGGCUUCUAAUGCUAUAUUUAAAACGCUACUGAAAUUAUGAUCCUGUUGUAGUUCCUUUGCAGGCUCUUCAUCAACCUAGGUGGAAUGUGUGGCUGGCAGGAAGCCAGCAUCAUCCCUUGAUCCCCUCCUCCAUAUGACUCAGCACAGAUCGGACACUUUAAUAGCUUCUGAGUCCAAGUUUGAACUCGCCCCAAAUGAAAGCCUCCCUCCCCUCAGUGCUUCCCCUACCUUCACAGCCCACUCUCCAUUUCCAAUUUAUCUGCUAGUAAAUUCUGAGUUGAGCUUGGAACCAGAGUUUCAUUUACUUUUGGCAAGGGAUCAAUUUCUUCCAAGAAAAGAAAAAAUGAGGAAAAGGAGGGGUAGAAGGGGGAAAUUUUUAAAAAGCCCAGCUAAACUAAAAGAGCUCAUGGAAACAGCCAUACAACAUGAAGUAGCUCAGCAAAGAAAGAGCAGUUCUUUUUGGUACAUUAAGUGUGAGUGAAUUUGAAACAGAGUUUGAAAUGAUCAGAACAUGCAGCUGAGGUUACCAACCAAGCACAGAUGGUCUCCUGGUUUGGAGAGGUUGUGGGGUCACUGAGACACUAGUGACUUCAGAACAGGAGAGAGGGAUUGAAGGUAACCACGGUGUCCACAUUCAUUUUCAUUCUGGAUUGUGUGGCCAUUUGACAUGUGACAUCCCUCAUGAUUUCUGGAUAGCAGAAGACCUGUUGAUAUAAGACUUUCCUGAUGGAUUUGCCAUCACUUUGAAAAGCAAGGGAUAUUUAUUGCAAUGCAAAGUAUCCUGAGUUAUAAGAAAAAAAAGUACAGUUAGUUCAACUCCACAUAUGGGAAAAAUGCAAAGUAAAUCCUCAACCUGAAAAGAAAUUGAAGUCUUAUAAUAGCCAUCAGCUUUGGAAAAAUCUUUUUCACAAUAUUCACUGCUGGAAAUGAUUUGGAAAAUAACUACUCUUCAUAUUAUGGGUAGUCAUGUAAAUGGCAUCAUCUUUCUGGAGGGGAAUUUGACAUUCUUUUUCUCCAUCCUUGCCCCACAUUCAUGUCUUGAUUGUGACAUUAAUUCUCUUUUAACCCCAUUUAUCAACCUCCCCUAGACAAUACUAAAAUGUUUGAUGUAUAUCAUUUUGCAUGAAUUCAUGCAAGAUGUAAGAUAUUUUGUUUGGAUGUAGUUUAAUAUAGAAAAAUGGCAUUAUAGGAUACUUCCUAAUUUUUCACUCAGCAUUAUAUUUAUAAUAUUACUAUAUGGACAUUUAAACUAUUGCUUCAAACUGUUUUACAAAAUUCCAUGGUGUGCAUCCAUUAUAGUUUACCUAAGAAGUUCCCCAGUGAUGGACUCCCACCUGCCACCAACUUCCCACCUCUGCAUUGGGUACUUUGCCCAUUAAAACAAAACAAAAAAAAAUGCGAAGGACAACACCAUAAAAAGUUGGAAUGGUGAUAGGUAUGGGUCUAGUUUUAAUCUUUGGCAGGUUGAAAUCCAGUUUUCCCAGCACCAUUUAUU